rnacentral:rRNA from 1 species
CCUACGGGAGGCUGCAGUGGGGGAUAUUGCACAAUGGGGGAAACCCUGAUGCAGCGACGCCGCGUGAGCGAUGAAGUAUUUCGGUAUGGAAAGCUCUAUCAGCAGGGAAGAAAAUGACGGUACCUGACUAAGUAUCCCCGGCUAACUACGUGCCAGCAGCCGCGGCAAUACGUCGGGGGCCAGCGUUAUCCGGAUUUACUGGGUGUAAAGGGAGCGUAGUCGGCAGUGCAAGUCUGAAGUGAAAGGCAAGGGCUCAACCCUUGGACUGCUUUUGAAACUGUGCUGCUGGAGAGUCGGAGAGGUAAGUGGAAUUCGUGGUGUAGCGGUGAAAUGCGUAGAUAUUAGGAGGAACACCAGUGGCGAAGGCGGCUUGCUGGACGAUGACUGACGUUGAGGCUCGAAAGCGUGGGGAGCAAACAGGAUUAGAUACCCGAGUAGUC